rnacentral:rRNA from 1 species
CCUACGGGGGGCAGCAGUGGGGAAUAUUGCGCAAUGGGCGAAAGCCUGACGCAGCGACGCCGCGUGAGGGAUGAAGGUCUUCGGAUCGUAAACCUCUGUCAGCAGGGAAGAACGGUCACUGUGCUAAUCAGCAGUGAAUUGACGGUACCUGCAAAGGAAGCACCGGCUAACUCCGUGCCAGCAGCCGCGGUAAUACGGAGGGUGCGAGCGUUAUUCGGAAUUACUGGGCGUAAAGCGCUCGUAGGCGGUAUGUCAAGUCAAGGGUGAAAUCCCCGCGCUCAACGUGGGAACUGCCUUUGAAACUGGCAAACUGGAGUGUGUGAGAGGAUAGUGGAAUGCCAGGUGUAGGGGUGAAAUGCGUAGAUAUCUGGAGGAACAUCAGUGGCGAAGGCGACUAUCUGGCACAUAACUGACGCUGAGGAGCGAAAGCGUGGGUAGCAAACAGGAUUAGAUACCCUAGUAGUC